UACGUAGGGGGCAAGCGUUGUCCGGAUUUACUGGGCGUAAAGAGCGUGUAGGCGGCCACGCAGGUCCGUUGUGAAAACUGGAGGCUCAACCUCCAGCUGUCGACGGAAACCGUGUGGCUAGAGUCCGGAAGAGGAGAGUGGAAUUCCGUGGUGUAGCGGUGAAAUGCGCAGAUAUCAGGAGGAACACCGGUGGCGAAGGCGGGUCUCUGGGCCGAUACUGACGCUGAGGAGCGAAAGCGUGGGGAGCGAACAGG
rnacentral:rRNA from 1 species